rnacentral:rRNA from 1 species
AUAUCAUUCAAGUUUCUGACCUAUCAGCUUUAGACGGUAGGGUAUUGGCCUACCGUGGCUAUGACGGGUAACGGGGAAUUAGGGUUCGAUUCCGGAGAGGGAGCCUGAGAAACGGCUACCACAUCUAAGGAAGGCAGCAGGCGCGCAAAUUACCCAAUCCUAAUACAGGGAGGUAGUGACAAGAAAUAACAAUACAGAACCUUACGGUUUUGUAAUUGGAAUGAGUUAAGUAUAAACCCCUUAACAAGUAUCAAUUGGAGGGCAAGUCUGGUGCCAGCAGCCGCGGUAAUUCCAGCUCCAAUAGCGUAUAUUAAAGUUGUUGCAGUUAAAAAGCUCGUAGUUAAUCUUCUGUUAAUUUUUAUAUAUAAUAUCUCGAUAUUUAUAUAAUAUUAACAUAAUUCAUAUUACUUUUUAGUAUAUGAAACUUUACUUUGAGAAAAUUAGAGUGCUUAAAGCAGGCUAUUGCCUUGAAUACUCCAGCAUGGAAUAAUAUUAAGGAUUUUUAUUCUUCUUAUUGGUUCUAGAAUAAAAAUGAUGAUUAAUAGGAACAGUUGGGGGCAUUUGUAUUUAACAGUCAGAGGUGAAAUUCUUAGAUUUGUUAAAGACAAACUACUGCGAAAGCAUUUGCCAAGGAUGUUUUCAUUAAUCAAGAACGAAAGUUAGGGGAUCGAAGACGAUCAGAUACCGUCGUAGUCUUAACCAUAAACUAUGCCAACUAGAGAUUGGAGGUUGU